rnacentral:rRNA from 1 species
UGCGUAGGCGGUUAGUUAAGUCUGUUGUGAAAUCCCUGGACUCAACCUGGGAAUGGCAAUGGAAACUGGCUAGCUAGAGUGUGUCAGAGGAUGGUGGUAUUUCCGGUGUAGCGGUGAAAUGCGUAGAGAUCGGAAGGAACAUCAGUGGCGAAGGCGGCCAUCUGGGACAACACUGACGCUGAAGCACGAAAGCGUGGGAGCAAACA